rnacentral:rRNA from 1 species
UGCGCCUUGCCAGCCCGCUCAGAAACUUAAAGGAAUUGACGGGGGCCCGCACAAGCGGAGGAGCAUGUGGUUUAAUUCGAUGAUACGCGAGGAACCUUACCUGGGCUCGAACGUAAGAUGACUGUAGGUGAAAGCUUACAUCUCUUCGGAGCAUUUUACGAGGUGCUGCAUGGUUGUCGUCAGCUCGUGCCGUGAGGUGUCGGGUUAAGUCCCAUAACGAGCGCAACCCUUGCCUUUAGUUGCCAGCAGUUCGGCUGGGCACUCUAAAGGGACUGCCGGUGUUAAACCGGAGGAAGGUGGGGAUGACGUCAAGUCCUCAUGGCCUUUAUGACCAGGGCUACACACGUACUACAAUGGCCGAUACAAAGGGCAGCGACACUGCGAGGUGAAGCCAAUCCCGUAAAAUCGGUCUCAGUCCGGAUUGGAGUCUGCAACUCGACUCCAUGAAGUUGGAAUCGCUAGUAAUCGUGGAUCAGCAUGCCACGGUGAAUACGUUCCCGGGCCUU